AGAGCACGCCUACGGGAAGCAGCAGUGGGGAAUAUUGCACAAUGGGGGAAACCCUGAUGCAGCGACGCCGCGUGAGCGAUGAAGUAUUUCGGUAUGUAAAGCUCUAUCAGCAGGGAAGAAAAUGACGGUACCUGACUAAGAAGCCCCGGCUAACUACGUGCC
rnacentral:rRNA from 1 species